rnacentral:lncRNA from 1 species
ACAACUACACAUCUAAAAAUAUACCAAAUAAUUAAAUUCAUACUCUAUAAAAUUUUAUUGUCCUUACAAAGAAGGGAAGGUUCACACUGUCUAUAAAUAUACCCAUCUAAAUUACAUGACAUUAUUUUUAUCAACUCCUAAAAAAAAACAAUAGAACUAUUGCACGAUGUACAAACGACAACAUCUUUAAACCACUGCUAACAGAACAAAAAUUCUAUAAUGCUUCAACUUGCUCCGCAUAUUCUUCAAGGAUAGGUUCUUCAAACUUCAAGUUCUUGAUCUUGAUCUAUUAAAAGAAGAAGUCAUGUCACAUUAGUGAAAAACUCCUACUAGCUACUUUAUUUAGAAAAUAAAUGAAUAAUUUAAUCACCAAAUCAACUAAACAAUUGGAGUAAAUAUUGUUUGAUUAUACUAGUGCAGCCAAUGAUUAGUUUUAAGAAGUUUAUCUUUUAUGUUCAAGUACUAAUUGGUAUCAGUUCACCACCUAUAAUAUUGCUAAGCUGGUAUAACAAUACACCAGCGAUGGGAAAAAGGAGAUAGGCAGUGAAUCCGGGCAGCUUCUACUGUCCACAGGGAAUGUUUAUGAUAUGGUGAAGGAGUUUGAGAAGGAGAAGAGUAAUGUGCAAUCUAGCCAACAUAAACAGUCACAAGAUCAUAGAGAACUUGUUGAUCGAGGGAUGUUACAAGGAAAAUUAUAGGCUAAUCAAGUUAGGGGGGGAAGAAGAUGAGCAUGGUUGAUUUUAAAUAUAGUGAUGACACGGAAAGUGAAGGUGGCAGCCCACUUUCAGUUGCUUCACCAUAGGCACAAGGUAACAAAGCUACUCAAAUGUCUCCAACGACAAAAUUGAGUCCUAUAGCACCUGUUUUUGUUCCUUCAAGCAAGGCAAUGAUUUCAGUUCAUGAUAGGGCACUCUUGGACGCAUUGGACAGUCCAAAAGCACAAAAAGUAGCACAUUCCUGUGGUUCGAAGUCGAAUUCCCAACUAAUGCAAUUUUCAGGUUGUAAUACAAUUUUGGGAGAGCAACAAGCAAUAAAACCUGCACAAGGAGUAUCCGAGUAGCAACAAUUAUCCUAUACACAAUUGAGCAAAUUAAAUCUAGAUAAUUGCGUGCCUAGACAAUUCCCCCUAGGUGUUGUCAAUAAGAUUACUUAUCAAAAAGUCAAUCAAAACAAACUCAUUGAUGCAACAGAAAGCUAAACGGAAUAAAGCAAAUAAUAUACAGAAUCCUUAUUGAAUGGCUUUGCAAAUGUAAUAGAUGAAAGUAUUCUUACCUUUUGAUCUCCGGCUCCAUAUGAUCAUCAAGCAAAAUAUUUUACAGGUAAAUAAUGGUCCUUCUUGAGUGAGCAUUGCGCCAAAUUUUAUCAUGGAAAAU